rnacentral:rRNA from 1 species
AGUCGAACGAAGUAGCAAUACUUAGUGGCAGACGGGUGAGUAACAUGUAGGUAUCUGCCCUUUGGCCUGGAAUAACACGGGGAAACUUGUGCUAAUACCGGAUAAGUCUUUACGGAGAAAGCUUUAUGCACCAUUGGAUGAGCCUGCACUUGAUUAGUUUGUUGGUGGGGUAAUGGCCUACCAAGACUGUGAUCAAUAGCUGAUUUGAGAGGAUGAUCAGCCACAUUGGGACUGAGACACGGCCCAAACUCCUACGGGAGGCAGCAGUGGGGAAUCUUGCACAAUGGAGGAAACUCUGAUGCAGCGAUGCCGCGUGAGUGAAGAAGGCCCUUGGGUUGUAAAGCUCUUUCGUCGGGGAAGAAAAUGACUGUACCCGAAUAAGAAGGUCCGGCUAACUUCGUGCCAGCAGCCGCGGUAAUACGAAGGGACCUAGCGUAGUUCGGAAUUACUGGGCUUAAAGAGUUCGUAGGUGGUUGAAAAAGUUGGUGGUGAAAUCCCAGAGCUUAACUCUGGAACUGCCAUCAAAACUUUUCAGCUAGAGUAUGAUAGAGGAAAGCAGAAUUUCUAGUGUAGAGGUGAAAUUCGUAGAUAUUAGAAAGAAUACCAAUUGCGAAGGCAGCUUUCUGGAUCAUUACUGACACUGAGGAACGAAAGCAUGGGUAGCGAAGAGGAUUAGAUACCCUCGUAGUCCAUGCCGUAAACGAUGUGUGUUAGACGUUGGAAAUUUAUUUUCAGUGUCGCAGCGAAAGCGAUAAACACACCGCCUGGGGAGUACGACCGCAAGGUUAAAACUCAAAUGAAUUGACGGGGACCCGCACAAGUAGUGGAGCAUGUGGUUUAAUUCGAAGAUACGCGCAGAACCUUACCAACACUUGACAUGUUCGUCGCGACUUUAAGAGA